CGGACGGGAGACAGCAGUGAGGAAGAGGGGUCAAUGGGCGCGAGCCUGAACCAGCCAAGCAGCGUGAAGGAUGACUGCCCUACGGGUUGUAAACUUCUUUUAUAAAGGAAUAAAGUGAGGCACGUGUGCCUUUUUGUAUGUACUGUAUGAAUAAGGAACGGCUAACUCCGUGCCAGCAGCCGCGGUACUACGGAGGAUCCGAGCGUUCUCCGGAUUUAUUGGGUUUAAAGGGAGCGUAGAUGGGUUGUUAAGUCAGUUGUGAAAGUUUGCGGCUCAACCGUAAAAGUGCAAUUGAUACUGGCAGUCUUGAGUACAGUUGAGGUAGGCGGAAUUCGUGGUGUAGCGGUGAAAUGCUUAGAUAUCACGAAGAACUCCGAUUGCGAAGGCAGCUUACUAAACUGCCACUGACAUUGAUGCUCGAAAGUGUGGGUAUCAAACAGGAUUAGAUACCCGGGUAGUC
rnacentral:rRNA from 1 species